rnacentral:misc_RNA from 1 species
GAUGAAGAACGUAGCGAAAUGCGAUAAGUAGUGUGAAUUGCAGAAUUCAGUGAAUCAUCGAAUCUUUGAACGCACCUUGCGCCCUUUGGCUAUUCCGAAGGGCAUGCCUGUUUGAGUAUCAUGAACACCUCAACUCUCAUGGUUUUUCCAUGAUGGGCUUGGACUUUGGGGGUCUUGCUGGCCUAUAGUCAGCUCCUCUUAAAUGAAUCAGCUUGCCAGUGCUUGGUGGCAUCACAGGUGUGAUAACUAUCUACGCUUGUGGUUUUCCAUCAAGUCACCUUCAGCGAUGGAGGUUCGCUGGGGCUCAUAAAGAAGGCCUCUCCUCGGUGAGGACAGCCCUUUGAAUGUUUGAUCUCAAAUCAGGUAGGACUACCCGCUGAACUUAAGCAUAUCAAUAAGCGGAGGA